rfam:Camelus ferus unplaced genomic scaffold scaffold2639, whole genome shotgun sequence.
GGCUCUGUGGCGCAAUGGAUAGCGCAUUGGACUUCUAGCAUCAGUAUGAAGGACAUUCAAAGGUUGCGGGUUCGAGUCCCGCCAGAGUCG